CCCAAGACCUCAAACGGCGCCCCAACCUCCUCCACCUUCUACUGUCGUUUACCACCCCGAUUAUUCCUCAUUCUUUCCUCUCACUCGAAUCUCACGUGCUUCAUCUCUCUCCAACAAAUGAAGGAUUGAUGGGGGUCGUAGGAUUAAGGGGGUUUAAUCCUCUUCGUCUAUCUGUCCCAAGUUAGUUGAUUUCAGAGAGAUUUUUCUCAUUUUUGGGGGAUUUUCAGAUUUAGAAGGUUCGAGAUUUCUGGAGAAAAGAAUAUAUAAGGUUUGCGGACAAGUUUGUCACCGGACUAUCUUGUAAUCGCCUUCUGGCAAAUUAAUCGCAAACUCCCAUUCAGGUUCACAUCUUAUCUUACUAUGUUUAUGUAUGUAUGAAUCAAAGUAUGGUUGGAGCUUAAGAUAUGAAAGUUUAAAUUACAUGGUAUACUUAAGUGAGUGUUAGUGAAUGCCGGCUGUGAUCGAGCUAUUACCAGUUUAUGGAUUUUUGUUUUUUUAUAUGUUAAGGUGUUUAAUUUCUUUAUGUGUUUGAAAUAUGUUUUAAAGUUUGUACUUACUAGAUUUUUACAUGAAUGACUGAUCUUCUAGUCCGCUCUGUGAUUGAUAGGCGAGACAUGUUACUAUUGUGCUUAUUUUUGGUUAUUAGAAGAAUUUCUUGCACAUCUCGAUUCCAAAUUGGAUUCACAAUAAUGUUAAUCAGUGAUUCCUAUUAUAUCCAAACAUCUUGAUUAGUUUAACAUGACAUAUCCAUUAGAGCAUGCCAUUAUGUGUAGGAUUGAAGGAGUCUAUGUUAGUCGUGAAUCAGCGACUUUGGUGUAGCCUUUAAUUGUUUGAAUGAACCCAGUGCACCCAGAAUAGUAAGGUUUGCUACUUAAAGACUUAGUUUCAUUUGUUUACUUUCAUUAACUAUGGAUUCUUACGUUUGAUAUUUCCUAUCUCAAUUUAAAGGUUGAUCUCCAGAAGAUUACUUUUUCUGUUGUUCCUUCUAAUUUUCAUAAUGCCCGUGUGAUGCUCAUUACCACUCUUUAGUGCUGAUUAGUAUAAUUAAAUAACUUUUCUUUUGGUGUAAAUGAAUAGUAAAGUAGCUUCUGUUCUUGAGUUGUAUGGUUAAUGAUAGUUGUUCUUUUGUUAAUAUGUAAAGAAAUGAAUGCCUGCAACUUAAGGAGAUUUACCAUUCUGAAAUUUAGUGUAUCUAAGGCCUAAAUAUGGAUCUGUCUAAGUACAAUUUGAACCAUUUAUUAGCAUUUGCUUUGGUUUAGUUUUAAAAUGCAAACUUCAUGUUAGCUGGGCGUAUUCCAGCAUUUGGCUUGGUUUAACUAUUUAUUUUUUGGUAGUAGACAUUUGCUCAUAUGAUGUUCCAGCAGUCGGUAUUGUGUUUUAAAUCGAAUGGACAGUCUAUUGAAUCUUGCUCUUAUAUUUCCUUAUUGGCAUGCUUUAUUUUAUCUGCUCUAUAGAAUCAUUGUUAUGUUAGGGAUCAUGUGUUGUAUUCUUUCCUUAGGGUGGUGUUGUCUGUUGAAGUUGUCAUACUCAUAGCGGCGAACUAAUACUUACUAUGUGGCGCAUUUGAGUUGGUUCAAUGCUCUGAUCUUUGUAUUACUGGAGUUGGCAUUAAGAAGUUGCCACUAUAUAUUUGAUAAUUAACGUGUUCCUGAUACUGCAAUACAAUAAGAUUUCAUA